rnacentral:misc_RNA from 1 species
AAUUCUCAACCCUCCAGCUUUUGCGAGUUGUGAUGGGCUUGGAUAUGGGGGUUUGCGGGCCUUUAUUAAGAGGUCGGCUCUCCUGAAAUACAUUAGCGGAACCGUUUGCAGUCCCGUCACUAGUGUGAUAAUUAUCUACACUGUGAUGAUUGCUCUCUGACUAGUUCAGCUGCUAAUAGUCCCUUGUUGGACAACAUUAAUGAACU